AAGAGCACUGUUGAAUGAGAUCGCAUGCGUCAAGGUCAGUGCUGAUGGAUUAUCCAGAUACCAGGCAUGUGCCUUGCACAAUGGAGACAGCAAAGACGGACAAGAUGCAGAACUGCCACCUCCACACGCUUACAUCUGAAUGAAGAAAUCUAUAAACCAGUGGAUUCCAAAGCUUCUCAGGUGGAAUUAGGGGAAAUUUAAUUGGCACAUAGUCAAUGACUGAGGAAGCACAUCAUGGACACAUGCUCCAGCCAUCCCAUCUGUGGUAAUCCAGGACCACUAACUAAUCAUAUGAUAUCCAAGACGUAUUCUCUUUCUCUGCAAAUAGAGCACAAUUUCAAGUAAGUGAACUUGAAUAUGGGAGUGGAAAUGAAAACCCCACAGACAGUGAGGUGGUCUCUACAUUGAGGAAUAGGAGAGG